GUGAAUCAUCAAAUUUUUGAACGCAAAUUGCACUCUCUUCGGAGAGUAUGCCUGUUUGAGGGUCAGCCUAAGAAAAAUCGACAUCGGUGCUGUUGCGCGGUGUCGCUCUUCGGAAAUUGAGUUAUCUUGAAUCUUUGUUUUAAACGACUUAAAAUUUUCUUUACGAUUCCAUGAACUUUUCCAAGAUUUAUUUCUUUACACGGAUAAGGUAUCUAUUUUAUGAGUCGUGGUCGUCAUAG
rnacentral:misc_RNA from 1 species